GGAUAACCUGCCCUUAGGUCCGGCAUAACCCCGGGAAACUGGGGAUAAUUCCGGAUAACGCAUAUGUGCUGGAAUGCUUUAUGUGUAAAAUGGAUUCGUCUGCCCAAGGAUGGGUCUGCGGCCUAUCAGGUAGUAGUGGGUGUAAUGUACCUACUAGCCUACGACGGGUACGGGUUGUGAGAGCAAGAGCCCGGAGAUGGAUUCUGAGACAUGAAUCCAGGCCCUACGGGGCGCAGCAGGCGCGAAAACUUUACAAUGCGGGAAACCGUGAUAAGGGGACACCGAGUGCCAGCAUCAUAUGCUGGCUGUCCAGGUGUGUAAAAUACACCUGUUAGCAAGGGCCGGGCAAGACCGGUGCCAGCCGCCGCGGUAACACCGGCGGCCCGAGUGGUGAUCGUGAUUAUUGGGUCUAAAGGAUCCGUAGCCGGUUUGGUCAGUCCUCCGGGAAAUNUGAUAGCUCAACUAUUAGGCUUUCGGAGGAUACUGCCAGACUUGGAACCGGGAGAGGUAAGAGGUACUACAGGGGUAGGAGUGAAAUCUUGUAAUCCCUGUGGGACCACCUGUGGCGAAGGCGUCUUACCAGAACGGGUUCGACGGUGAGGGACGAAAGCUGGGGGCACGAACCGGAUUAGAUACCCGGGUAGUCCCAGCCGUAAACGAUGCUCGCUAGGUGUCAGGCAUGGCGCGACCGUGUCUGGUGCCGCAGGGAAGCCGUGAAGCGAGCCACCUGGGAAGUACGGCCGCAAGGCUGAAACUUAA
rnacentral:rRNA from 1 species